UUCAUAGAAAAUCCUCAUUCAUCAAAGUAGACGAUAUGGAGAAAGACGACUAUAGUGAUCCUGAAGCAACUCCGUUGAUCGAUGUAAGUGAAUUUCGUCGUCGGUCUUUUUACCGAGCCAUAAUCGCCGAGUUUGUAGCAACAUUAUUUUUCCUAUACAUCUCUGUCACUGCAUUGAUCGGGUACAAAAACGAACCAGACAAAUGCAACAGCAUAAGUCUGCUUGGAAUCGCAUGGGUGUUCGGAGGCAUGAUUUUCGUACUAGUCUAUUGCACCGCUGGUAUCUCCGGAGGUCAUCUCAAUCCAGCAGUUACCUUCGGAAUGCUCAUCGCACGGAAAUUAUCUCUUCCACGUGCCGUCAUGUACAUGGCGGCACAGUUUCUCGGUGCAGUUUGUGGGGUUGGCUUUGCCAAAGCCAUCUCUGGAUCAGACAACUACACUUAGGUAGGAGGAGCUACUAAUUCCAUAUCAUCUGGAUACACUAAAGGUUCUGCACUAGGAGUAGAGAUUCUGGGAACUUUCCUUCUGGUUUUCACUGUUUUCUCCGCGACUGAUCCCAAGAGAAAAGCCAGAGACUCUCACGUCCCGAUCCUCGCACCAUUGGUUAUAGGAUUUGCCGUCUUCAUGGUGCACUUAGGGACGAUUACUAUUGGAGGAACGGGCAUUAAUCCGGCUAGGAGCUUUGGGGCGGCUGUUAUUUAUAAUAACCACAAGGCUUGGACUGAACUUGUAUGUACAUCUCUUCAACCCUUUCUUUUUUUUUCUUUUUUUUAUAGAAAAGCAUUUGCCCUCUAAUUUUAAAACUUACACAUAUUAUUUUCAUUUUAUAUUUUCUACUUUACCUAUCUCAUGUUGAUUCUACGUAUCUUUAUAAAAUGUACGUUCAGGAUAUGAGUUGUAGAAAAAAACUUCAACCAACUUAAUGUGUGGUCUUUUUCAUCUUUUAACCGAAAAAAACUUAUCCCACAUAAUAAAUUUACCUUUUAUCAAGUUACAGCUUUGUCCUUGUAAGAACUAUCCAUUUUUUUACCUACUUAUUGAUUUUUGUUGCUGUUAAUUAUAUUUUACAGUGGGUCUUUAUACUUGGACCGUUGAUUGGAUCGUUUAUAGCAACAGGGUUUCACCAGAUUAUCAUUCGAGCAUCGAACUUCGAAAGGAUUGUCAAUUCCUUUGCAACCCCAUGAAUUGAAAAGAAUAUAUAGUUUCUCAAUGAACAUCUAAAUUUUGUAUUUUGUAUGUUCAAUUACUCAAAAUUUGAUUUACCUUGUUGACCAAUGUUUUACACUCUUCAAAACCAAUUCAUUUAAUCUAGAUUAUAAAAUAGGCAACAGUUGUAGUCCUACAUGUUGAAGAUAAGUGGUACAUUAGUAUAGGAUAGACCAUAAUAGGUAAUUAAGGAAAAUAUAUAAUUCACUAUGACAUCCUAAUAAUUAGUAAUAAUUAUAAUAAGAAACAUGAAGAUUAGAAAUCAUUAAACUAUUAAUAAUUAGUACUAAUAAAGUGGGUAAAUUACGCUAGACAUUCUGACAGUAGUACAAAUCUGGCAGUAGUACAAAUCUGACAAACAGUACAGACGAAUAUGUACAGUAGUACAGACGAAUAUAUGUAGACGCAAUCGCAUCGUUAUUAAAGACGGAAAAAAAUGAAAAACGACUUUAUGAAUAGUGAUUUGGAAUGACUGGUUGGCAGCUAAUUGUCUCCAUGCCUCGAGAUGAUGUCCAAUGGUGGUUCAAUAACUGAAAAACUGGUAGUACGAAAAGUUGACCUUUCGAUUUGAUUUAGAGCCACGUAAAUCGUUCAAAUAGGUGCAGAUGUAUUUGAAAUUAGUUGGGUUGAGUUGGAUAUUGGUCAUGAUACUUAACUGACUAGGUGCAGAUGUAUUUGACUUGUAGAUUUAAUUAUUAUUUAUUAUAGAAUAAGACAUAAUGAAUCUUCUAUAAAUAUCCAAAAUUCAUAGAAAAUGGUUCAUAUAGCAGAAUACAAUGGUUCAUAGAAAAUCCUCAUUCAUCAAAGUAGACGAUAUGGAGAAAGACGACUAUAGUGAUCCUGAAGCAACUCCGUUGAUCGAUGUAAGUGAAUUUCGUCGUUGGUCUUUUUACCGAGCCAUAAUCGCCGAGUUUGUAGCAACAUUAUUUUUCCUAUACAUCUCUGUCACUGCAUUGAUCGGGUACAAAAACGAACCAGACAAAUGCAACAGCAUAAGUCUGCUUGGAAUCGCAUGGGUGUUCGGAGGCAUGAUUUUCGUACUAGUCUCACUAUAAGAAAAGAGGUCUACAGCGACGAUUUUAGCGACGAUUUUGGAUCGUCGUUAAAUUACAAGAAGGAUUUUGAAGAAAACCCGCGAUAUUCGUCGUUGAUUAUCUUUUUUUUUGUUUAAUUAGCGAUGAUAUGUUGAUGAUCGUCGUUAGAUAUAACAUUUAGCGACGAUUUAAAAUUUAUCAUCGCUAAUAAUGCGGACCUAUUUAUAAAAUUUUAAAAAAAUAAGGUAUUAUUUAUAAAUUUCCCAAAAGUAAUGUUAUUUCCCCCCCAAAUCGAUUUCCCCCCAAAACUCCCAAAACCCAAUUUAUUAAAUUAGGACCAAUUUAUUAAAUUACCCAAUUAAAUUCCCAAAUUUCCCCAAAUACUUCCCCUAAACCUAAACCCUCCAUUUACCCCAAAUUUUUCCCAAAUUAAAAUACUAAAGUUGAUUAUUUAAAGGUUAAAAAUUUAAAAUACCCAUUUAUAAAAUAAGUAUUUAAACCCAAACCCCUAAAUUAAACUCACCGAAAAAACCCCAAAUCCUACAUCGUCUUUUCUUCCCUCCUUACACUCUCCGGCGAUUUUCCAAUCCAACCUCUGUCGACGUGGCGAGGAGUUCCUCCGGUGACAGAAGCGACUUUCCUCUGGUGAGUUUUAUUUACCUUUGGCCGUAGACUUUCCUCUGGCCGUGUUCUUAUUAUCUAAAUUUACUCUACUGUCAAGUAUCUCAUAACUCAAGUCAUUAUUUCUAACACAAUCUCUUACCCAACUCACAAGAUCACCAUCACCAUCACAUCCACUUCCUUCUAAUUGUUGUAUAGAUUUUCUCCCUGUCACCCAGUUCUAGCAAAACAACUCCGUAGCUAUAGAUAUCACUUUUCUCUGUUACCUUCAUUGUAUAUGCAUAUUCUGCAGGGAAAGAAAUCACAAAAACAAAACAAAAGGUGUUAUUAUAAUUGCAAAUUUGCAUAUUCCAAUCUCAUUUCCCUCCAUUUCAUUUCCCCUAAUCUUGUUUCCCCCCAUUUCAUUUUCCCCAAUCUCAUUUCCUCCAAUAUUUUCCCCUGGCUUCAAUAUUACAACAUCGUUUCUUUCCCAUUCUUUCAGCCUAACCUUCCACAACCCUCAAUAAUCCAUCACUUCCAUGAUCGUGACCUAACCUUCCACAACAUUUAUGGACUGAGACAACAUAUUCCAGAAACGCUAAGUAAUUAAUACAUCAAUUUGAUUCUUCUUUGGUUUUCUAUAUUCUUCUUUUUCAUUUAGGCUUUUCAUUUUCUAUUUUUCCUCUUUUAUUCCUUAAUCUUCCUCUCUUCCUCUUACAUUCUCUUCUUUUUCCAUUUUAUUCUUCAUCGUUUAAUCUUUCUCUUUUUCUCAUUCUUGUUCAAGAUUUUCUGCUUUAAAACCUAGAUAUUGAAAAAUAAUUUUAGGGUUUGUCAUUCUUUUUAAUACUGUUUCGUUUUUGAUGCAACAAGUUUUUUUAUUGAAUUUGUUGGUAUAAAAUCUACUUCAAAAAGGAAUUGGUUCUAUCGAAUGUUUUGUAAGUCUAAUGUUUAAAACAGUAAAUAAAGAAUUUGGAUAUAAAGUAAAUAGAUCAUGUGUCACAACAUCUUAUCAUUUGAAUCUGUUAUCUUUAUCUUUUAAAUGGCCAAGUGUUAAAAAACUGUAAUUUGGGUAUAAGGAAUUUCCAAUGUUCUUCAACACCUGUCCGCCAUGUGCCAUGACAUCUUAUGUGAAUUCAUUAUCUUUUCAUUUUAGAUGACCAACUGUCAAAAAUCUGUAAUUUGUAAAAUAAUUUAUACGUAUUUUGUAAAUAUUAUAAUUGCUUAUGUAGGUAUCUACAUCUAUUUUUAAGGUUACGUUAUAUAUGAAAUAUAUUUUAUCAAUUUUGGCAUUCUAUUUAGCAUUAUGUUUUGCUUGUAUAUAUAAAUCUUAAAUGUUUUGCUGAUUUUUUUCUUUUAAAAUUUUAAAUGUUGUUUGAUUAUUAUUUUUUCAUUUUCAGAUUGAUUAGAAGAAGAAUAUAAAAAGCAAAGAAGGUAUCUUGUCAUUUAUUUAAUUUUAAGAUUUUAAAUCUAGGUUCUCAAAAUAACUUUGAUUUUAGAAAUGUCCAUACUCAAUAAUUCAUUCUCUGCACACUUGGAUCUCCUUUCUGUAUUUUUUUACAUAUUUGGGCAUUAUUUUGCUGAUUUGCUUGUAUUUUUUUUUCAUAUUUGGGGUUUUCAUUUUUAUUAGCAUUAUGUUGUUGUUGCUGAUUUGCUUGCUGAAUUCCUUAGCAUUUCAUUUAGCAUUAUGUUUGAUUAUAUAUAAAUCUUAAAUGUUUGUUGCUGAUUUAUUUGCUUGCUAAUGUUUGUAUUUUGCUUCUAUAUAUAAAUCUUAAUUGUUUUGCUGAUUUUUUUUUUAAAAUUUUAAAUGUUGUCUGAUUUUUUUUUUCUUUUUCAGAUUGAUUAGAAGAAGAAUAUAAAAGGCAAAAAAGGUAUCUUGUCAUUUAUUUAAUUUUAAGAUUUUAAAUCUAGGUUCUCAAAAUAACUUUGAUUUUAGAAAUAUCCAUACUCAAUAAUUCAUUCUCUGCACACUUAGAUCUCAUUCAACUAUCAAUAUCUCAUUUAUCCCUUUCAAUCAUUUCUGGUUAUGGAGUAUUAUAUCUCAUGAGAAUGAUUCAUAUGAGACAUCUUGGAUAAUGAGAUAUAACAUCUCAUUCGUUCCAUUUAUCCAACUUAUCUCUUCCCAAAAGUAAUGUUAUCCCCCCCUCCAAAUCGAUUUCCCCCCAAAACCCCCAAAACCCAAUUUAUUAAAUUAGGACCAAUUUAUUAAAUUACCCAAUUAAAUUACCAAAUUUCCCCAAAUACUUCCCCUAAACCUAAACCGUCCAUUUACCCCAAAUUUUUCCCAAAUUUCCCCAAAUGGGGACUAAUAAUGGACAAGUUUUUGGCACCAGAGUUCGUAGAAAAAUCAAAAAAGAAUUCAGCAAAUCGAACUAAAAACGACGAUUAUUUGGUGUACAAGGGUGGAUCGGCUUCUUUUGAAGCCAACUCUCAUGCAUUAGUAAGUUUAUAUUUUAAAUUCAUUUCAAUUUAAAUAUUUUAUGAAUUAUUUUAACUAGAUUUUUUCGUAUAGAGUCUCAAAUUAGGUCGAAAACCGUCAUUUCAAGAGGCAUUCUUGUCAACUCAUACGCCGUUAAAUGAUAGAGGAAAAACUAUGAUGGUGAGUGAUCAUUUAUUAAUUAUUUAUAAUAUAUUUAUUUUUUCUUAAUUAUUUCAUAUUUGAUUUUCGUAAAGGCCGAAUACGAAAAUUUGAAUGAAGAACUUCGAAGACAAGAAGACAGUGAUUCUGAUUCUGAUGACGAUAGCGAAGAUGAAAAUUUAUCGUCUCAAGGUUCAACUACAUUUCAUACGAAGCCUCUGUUUAAAAACGAUCAUAUUGGACCUUGGCUGAAAGCAUCAAAGAGAAAGAAAAAUGGGCGCAUUCUAGGAUUUAGAGUUGGCAAUGACUCUAUGUUAUCAAAUAAGAGGAGAAAGAAAAUGAGCAAUGAGGAAACUGAGAAGCACAACACUGAAAAAUUUGAAUUGGCAGUUUCCAAAGCCGUUGGAAAACGAAUGGAAGCGUUCGAAAUAGAAAACGAAAAACGAUUUAAAAUGAUGGAACGGUUAAUUGACAAUAUACAUGUGAGUUUAAUAAAUAUUUUUAAAUUAGUUUUUAAAUUUAUUAAUUUUUGAAUAUCUUCAUUUAUUUUCAGGCUAAUGCUACAAGCAACGACUCGAAUCGUCCAUCAUCGAGUAAUGUUCCUGUUUCUUCUCAGUUGAACCAACUUAUUCCAUUAUCGAGAAAUUAUUGGGAAGAAGAUACUACUUUGAAUUCGACACCUCGACCAAAAGGUAAGACUUUAGAUAUUUCCAAUAUUGUUCAACAAAAAAAAUUAUAAAACACUUACCUCUAUUGUAAUUGAAACACUUAACUCUAUUGUAAUUGUAAUCUCCAUUAUAACUCUAUUAUCUCUAAUAAACAAUUAAUCUAAUUUGUGAUUCAUUUGUGAUUCAAUAUGUCAAAUUUGUAUGAUUGAAUGUAUGUGAUUAGUGUGAUCGAUUGAAUGUAUGUGAUUGGUGUGAAUUGAAUUGUAUUUGCAGGUAUUAAAUUGUAUUUAGGGUUGAAUUGUAUUUGCAUGUAUUUACAGGUAUGAUUGAAUAGUAAGGCUCUAAAUGAGCACCCAUAUAAAUAAAACAUUUUUUUUUAUUGUAUUAUAUAUUUUAGCGACGAUUUAGCGACGAUAAGUUGAAACAGGGAAAAUUAAAAUUUAACAAAAGCGACGAUUUAGCGACGAUUUAGCGACGAUAAGUUGAAACAGGGAAAAUUAAAAUUUAACAAAAGCGACGAUUUAGCGACGAUAUGGCGAUGAUCAUUUUCAAAUAUUAGCGACGAUUCAGCGAUGAUGCUAUUUUUUGCCGCCAAAAAAUAGCGCGCGUGUGGGAUUACAUCAGCGACGAUGACAGUCAUCGUCGCUGAUAAUUAGCGAGGAGACCUACAGCGAAGCUUUAGCGACGAUCAAUAAUCGUCGCUGAAACCAAUUUAGCGACGAUUUUUGACUUUCAACGACGAUUUCUGAUCGUCACUGAAACGCAGGAAUCUUGUAGUGUCUAUUGCACCGCUGGUACCUCCGGAGGUCAUCUCAAUCCAGCAGUUACCUUCGGAAUGCUCAUCGCACAGAAAUUAUCUCUUCCACGUGCCAUCAUGUACAUGGCGGCAUAGUUUCUCGGUACAGUUUGUGGGGUUGGCUUUGCCAAAGCCAUCUCUGGAUCAGACAACUACACUUAGGUAGGAGGAGCUACUAAUUCCAUAUCAUCUGGAUACACUAAAGGUUCUGCACUAGGAGUAGAGAUUCUGGGAACUUUCCUUCUGGUUUUGACUGUUUUCUCCGCGACCGAUCCCAAGAGAAAAGCCAGAGACUCUCACGUCCCGAUCCUCGCACCGUUGGUUAUAGGAUU
rnacentral:lncRNA from 1 species